AUUGAACGCUGGCGGCGUGCUUAACACAUGCAAGUCGAUCGGUAACAGGUGUAGCAAUACAUGCUGACGAGGGGCGGACGGGUGAGUAAUGCUUGGGAAUCUGCCUAUUAGUGGGGGACGAACCCGGGGAAACGUCGGGCGUAAUACCGCAUACGCUCUACGGAGGAAAGACCGGGGACCGGCAAGGCCUGGCGCUAAUAGAUGAGCCCAAGUCGGAUUAGCUAGUUGGUAGGGUAACGGCCACCAA
rnacentral:rRNA from 1 species